AUCGUUCAUCUCUGAAAAGAGACGGAAGUAAGUGAAAGCUGAAGGAACGCGCC
ncrna:unclassified sequences Glutamine riboswitch